rnacentral:ncRNA from 15 species
ACUCUUAUCGUCUAACGGUGAGGACAACGGGUUUUCACCCCGUAAAUUUGGGUUCGAUUCCCAAUAAGAGUA